UUGGCAUUCCUAAGGUUACCCAGAUGGUGAAAAGCUGUCUCAAAGCUGGAAUCAAGUUCUCCAUGUCUUUGUUCUUUCCAUGAUUCCAUACUGGCUCCACCUGGUUAUGCUUUCCUAUGUGAAGACCACUAUUAGAGUUUUCUAGCUGGGACCUAUAAAUUAGACUGACAGAAGACAAAUUAGCAAGAAAAAAACAGGAAGAAUUUUAUUAAUACAUAUAUUGUGCAUUCAGAUGGGAAUACUCAGAGGCCAAAAGUGGAGUCAUUUGCUCCCAGGACAGCAAACCAAGACUUAAUUGCAGUUUCAACCCCUCCAAGAGUGGAAUUUUAAACCAAUCAGUCUGGAAUUUCCUGGUCUGCACUUGAUAAGACCCCCUGCCAGAAGGUAACCUUGCCUGAAAUAAUCUUUUAUUUUCUUU